CCGCAUUCGGUGUCUUUACCUGGACUACAACGUUUUACCACACCCAUUCCUGGACCACAUCUACUGCAAUGCGAACCCUCACGAUGAUGCCUAAUGUGAGGUCGACAUUCUGCAAACUGGAAAAAACAAAUAAAUAAAAAUAAUUGUGAACGGAAAAAUUUACAAGGAGUGUGGCGAAUAUUGAAAAAGAAAAAUUCGAUCUGAAGUGUCACGAGCGCGGUAUUUAAAAUGACAACCUCUAUUUAAAAAAAAAAAAAAUAAAACGAUUAUUGCAGUAAUUUUACACAUCGGGUAAAGGAGGAAAAAAAAAGGAUAUUAUUUUCUUUUUUCGGAUAAUAGUCAGCAGCUUAAAGGUAAAGAGUCAGCCGCCAGCUGUCGAUGGCACGCGCCAGCGGUUUCAAAAAAAGUCAGCGAACAGAGUCUACAGUUUUAUUUUCAAUCGAGUGCAAUAGUGAUGAGGGAAACAAUAAAUACGAUGACGUAUGUGAAUGGGAACUUCCGACGUUAAUAAAACGGAAAUGGUGAGAGUGCGAAAAAUAUCCUUUAAGUGACACAAAGGAGUUUGGAGCUUAUUCCCUGAAAAAGCUUCACUUCCCCAUAGGUCAGAAGGUCACGCCACGAUGGUUUCCACACAUUUUUCUGUUCAUUCUAUAUUACUCUCGGCGAGGUUUGACUUCCGAUAGGAAGUUCCAGGCAAGAGGGUGAAAUACUGCAGCUGCCUGCACUCAACGCUAUAUAUAUAUAUA